UCAUUAUGAAGCUUCACAAAA
ensembl:piRNA 21ur-2723 ncRNA